rnacentral:lncRNA from 1 species
CGGGAGACAGAUAAAACAUGGAGGAAUAGAGUGUUCAAAGCAGUUUUCCAAAUGUGACCUUAUGUAAGACUCAUGACACAUUUAGAGAACAAAAGCUACCACAUCAUCUCCAUCUUCUCCAAGAAGAACUUGAAGCCUAGAAGAACUCUCUUUAGCUUGCUCAAAGAGGAGAGGGGUCACCGAACUGGAGCAGCAACGAAGGAGCAUCAGUAGACACCAUCCACAGAGGGCUUACGUCACACAAAUGCCCAGCACUUUCCAUAACUUACUUCCACUUGUUCAAAGAGACAUUUUUGGCCCAGAAUUCACCUCCAUGUAUUCCUUUUGCAUCCUUCAGAGUAAGCAUCGAGAUGCAUUUUAUAUACCGACCCUCAAGGAGUGUU